GCUGGGAGUUGUAGUUUUGCAACAGCUGGAGGCGAGGUGGUUGGGAAACACUGCAGUCUAUGGGGCCAUCAAGUGAAGCAGGAUGGAGAUCGCUGCACGUUGGAACCCCACUAUUCGCUCUCUCCACCAGCGUCCACCCUGGGAUUUGUUCUGGAAUUCCUUAUCAUAAAUAAACCAUUUGAUCCUCUGUUGUUGUAUCAUCAAACAGGUAAAUAUUUAGGAUGACAAAUGGGCCGUUGCCAGGCGAUGUAACACAGCUCCACAAAGUGAAGCAUCAGACGUCAAUGAGGAAAGAGACUUAGUGACUGUCCUGGUGGCUGCUGCUUUCCUUUUUCUUCUCCUGCAGGAUUGAUGUUUGUGUAACUUACAGUUCACUAUAAUAACAAUGGAACAUCUCUACCAGUAGACGGCGCCAGAGCAUAAAUCAUAAUGCAGAACUAUGAAGACGACUUGUGGUACUUGGCCGCCUCCUCCAGUGUAAUGUGCUCGGCUGUGGACUCUCAGUUAUGACAGUCUGUAUGUUAUAAAAAAUGUUUUUACUUUGAGAAAUGGUUCCCAGAAGGGACCGUAAUGGGGUCUGACGUACGGGCCAAGAAGUAUGCACUUUAUUUAUAUAAGCUAAAAGGGUGUAUGCUGCUUUAUUAUGUUUCUCACUAUGGUUCCUUUGAUUCUAAUGGUCGGAUAAUCUAUUCUGAAAUAAAAGUAAAACCUUCUUAU